AGAACGAGAAAAAGAGAGAUCCUAUAGAUGUGUGCAGGCGUACAGGCCAUCUUUGGUAUUCUCAAAUUACUUCAAAAGGUUUUUUUUCUCUUUUUUUUUUUUUUUUUUUUUUUGCUAAUACAGUGAACAAGACCUUGCAGUUUAUUUUUAUUUUUUCAGAUUAUGAAAAAUACCAAGUUUUACCUAAGGGAUGGGGUUAUCCUAUGUAUGCGGCAAACAGUUGUAACCAAGUACUUGAAACUGCCAGCCUAGAGUCUUGUGUUGAGUUAUAAUUUUUAAAGUAGAGCCAGCUCUGUGAUAAAAUUAGGUCCAUACACCCGGAUGCUUAAAGGGAACAGAGUAAAGAUAGUAUAGUUUGCAGGACUCACACAAGUGAAACUGGCAUAUGGGGGAUGUAAAGAAAAUUAAGUUUGGGAACUUAGAAAGUGUGUGUAGAUUUACAGUCUAGAGUUAGUGCAUUGACUUCUAUUUAAACGUUAUUUAGAAGUUUCAGCGUUCAGUUCUUGUCUUGUGGGUGGCGCAUCUCAUUUUCUUUAGGGUCAGCAGUCAUACAAUGUUACUCAAGUGCCAUACAAAAAAGGGAACACAGGCUACUCAAUCUAAAAUAAUAGACAAUGUGGUCCAGUCACAGGGACCACAUAACCAAGAUGAAAUAUUUGCAGCACUGUAAAAGCUAAACCCAUGGGGCUGGCAAUUCCAAGUAACUAAGACCAACAGGAAGUGACCCCAACUCUGUGGUGACACUCUGCUUUCGAAUUGAAACAUACUUAUCAACAGGAAAGUUUAGAAAAGAGAAACUACAGAAAAGAAUUGAAGAGUCAUUAAUCAAGGCAACAAAGGAGAAAAUGCUUUGUAGAAGAGGAGGAAGACAAGAGCUACCAUCUGGAGAGCAGAACGUUUUGGGAAGCCAUCAAAGGCAAAGAACCUAAGAAUCCAGGAAGAUCUUGAACUAUUACCCUUUACUUUAAUUUUUAAUCAUGGAAAUAUUUGCUUGGAAAAGAGACUGUGUCUACAAUGGCAACCAUUUUUAUAUUCAGAAAUUUGCCAUGUAAAAUAAUUGAAUGUCAGAUGAAGAACUGCCUGUCAUAUUUUGCUAUUAAAAUAAUAUAUUUUUAUGCAUAACCUGACCUGCCUUUGUGAGUUACUGUAGCCUGUGGUCUCUCUGCAAGAUUUUCCAAUGGGAUUUUUAAUAAUAUUCCGAUGUUUGCCAUCUUAAGCAGUGCAAGCUGUUAAACUCAAUUUGUGAAAAAAAAAAAAUCAGGUAUAAAACCAGAUAAUCUGUAUCCCUUUGGAAUCAAAAGUCACUUUGCCAAAAUAUUUUAACACGCAAAAUUGCUUCUUGAGAGAUGUUUGUCAUGAUAAAAUGACAGAAAACUACAUUUCCAUUAUAAUUAUAACUGACUCGUGGUGCUAAGUUUUUAUAAUUUAAAGGUAUUCUCAACUCUGACAGCCCUUCCAUGUUGAAUUAUGCAUCUCAGGCUCUUAAAUAGUUCUGCUGGCACGAGACAGCUGAGAUGAAGUUGUCUUUCUAAAAUAAUUGCUCCAUGGAGCAUCCAUUAUACCUUCAGAAAAAAUGUAUUACUUGACUUCUACAAAUUAUAGACUAGCCUAUAAUGGGUAUUUUUGACAGCUAUUAGCUUUAAAAAAAUCUGAACAGUAAAAUGAGUAUUGAUAUCACAAUGGUGUACCGUGCAUGUUAAUACCAACCUUCUCUGUACUUUCCUCCUAAAGCAUGAUGUAAUCAUUAAUUAUAAUAAUAUUGAUAUAACUGCACUCAUGUUAAAAACAUAGUAUUGGCAAAGUAUGUAAUUUUCUCGCCUAUAAGAUAAAAAGCAUUAAAUGAAUAUUUACAGUAGAUUUUGAAGACACUGUCCAAGCUUGAAAGAUAAAAAGUGAAUUCAUUUUUGGCAAUAUUUUUCUUAAUCAUGAGAUUAUUAAGUGUAUUUUUAAAACAUGAAUGAGACAAUAAUCAAUGAAUAAUAGAGGUAAUAAUUUUAUUCCUCAGAUUCUUCUUCAAAAUGUUGAACACUGGUAAAAACAUAAUUUAUCAAUAAAUUUUAGAAAUGUUUUCCAUUUCUUAUCAAGAAUUUUAUGCAUCAUUUAGUUCUUAAACCAGUUCUAAUUUUUUAAAUAAAAACACUUGAAAACAUUCUUGCAGGAACAUUGCAUCCCACAGAACAACAAUAAUCCAAUUAUUAAAAUCUAGAAUGGAAACAAUAUUGAUAGAAAUAAAAGUAAAGGGUCAUUUUCUUUACUGUUUCCAUUUGUACCAAUUAAUUCCAGUUCUAUGAAAUAAAAUAUUUGUGGUUAAAUUUAGGGAAAUUCUAUGCAAAUUUAAAGUUUUCUGUGAUAAACAAAUAUAAGGUAAAUAUUUUCCUAGUGUAUUGCAUUGCCAGGGCCUUUUUUUUUUUUUUAAUGUGACUACAGAGAAAGAAAUGGCUUAAUUUCCUACGUCUCCCCUGAAUAAACAGUUCACAGACCCAGACACAUAUGGACACAUACCUCCUACCUGAAAAAUAAAAAAGUUACAAUAUAUCACUAACUUAACAUUAAUUAACACAUCAAUCCAUAGUGUAGCAACUGCCUAGUCUGUGCUACUUUGCCAAGUACUGAUCAGACAGUUCUUACUCACAAUUAUUCCUUAUUAACCGUAUCCUAGAGGUUCAUUCUUCUAUACAUGGCCAGAGCCAAAAUUACCCAGAUACGUGGUCUUUACAAAUUCCCUUGGAUUUAAAUUCAUCCUCCCCUCUCAGGCUAACAGUAGAGAGACAAUUCCUGGGCUAAGUCCCUGCACUCGUUUUCUUUUGUGUUAGGGAUUUGGUUGGAUGAUGAGGACGGGUGGGAAGUUAGAGGGAAACAUAAUACAGUUUUAGUGCAUCUUUCCAAUUCUCAUGUCUUACUUUUAUGUCUCUUAUUCAAAUGAAGUUAGAAGACUAUAAAGUUAAAGAGAUAGAGAAAUAUUUAGAAAUAAAUAUUUAACCAUUGUCUUAAAAGAACAAGAGUAGGAGGGAAGGAAGUAGAAAGAAACAGGUGACAGAGACUUUAUACUUCACUAUGCAUUAGUCACACCCUUUAUACUGGGUCCAAUGGGUACAAUCCAAAGUAGAGAAAAAUGCUCUAGUGUUGGGAUUAAUAGUUUACGUUAAGGUUACCACAAUUGUUUAUGACAAUCUAAGUUAAAAAAAUCUCUUUUAUAUAUUCUUUGCAGCUGAUAUUAUAUUAAACAUUAACACACUUCUUUUUACUGGGUAAGAAAUUUUGAUAGCAUGAGAUUUUGAUUUUUUAAAUAUUUAUUGUAGUCACAAAUUAUUAAAUUACGAACAAAAAUUAUUUAUCUGUUUACACAAUUGAGGCAUUAUAGAUGGAGUUAUCAAACAAGUAUCUCCCCAAAGCAAAACCACUUAUAGUAACAAAAGGAUGAUUUUUAUUUCAAGGGACUUAAAUAAUGUAUUUCUACAUCCUUAAAACUCAUCGAAAAUUGGGUUUAUGGGUUUUUAAUUGGAAAGACUACCAAGUGGUGAACACUAUCUGCUGGGAAGAACCUGUGUCUAUAAUAUUCUUUCAAAAACCCGUGUCAUUCCUGUGUUUACUAUGAAUAAAAUUCAACAUGUAUAUUAUCUGUUUGUGUGGUAUUUACAUAAAAUGUGAAAAUUAUACACAAAAUCACCUGUGAAAAUGCAAUGGAAUUUUGCAUGAUUUUAGUUACUACUUUUGAUUUUUCUAUAGCCUUCACAUUUUACACAAUACAAAUAAGUUUUUAUUUACUUUAUGUAAGCAAU
rnacentral:lncRNA from 1 species